CAGUGUUACAGCUCUUAGAAUUUGUCUAGCAGGCUUUCUGUUUUUUUGCCAGAAGGCCCCA
ensembl:snRNA U7 U7 small nuclear RNA